rnacentral:tRNA from 1 species
GGGUAGGUACCGAAGCGGUCAAACGGGGCAGACUGUAAAUCUGCUGGCAAUGCCUUCGGGGGUUCGAAUCCCUCCCUGCCCA